UAUGGCUCAUAUGUGAGUGUAAAAAACUGAAAUUUGAAUAACUAUCUGAAUAUUCAUUGGAUCAUCUUGAAACCAUCACCAAAAUACUUGUCAUCAUUUCUUACAAUAGGAUUGUCUACUCACUAUUCAUAUUAUGUAUUUUUCUAGGGUUUGAAACUUAAUUCAACUUUUCAUGCUACAUAUAAGGCUCAUAUGGUUUGAAACUUAAUUCAACUUUUCGUGCUACAUAUAAGGCUCAUAUGUGGGAGGAGUUCUGGGGUAGAACUUCGAAUGCUCGAUGAUUUCGCUGAUACAGUGUCAUCUUUAGGAGGUUCACCAAAUUGGCAAGGAUGUUAACUAAGGAUAUUUGUGACGAGCUGUAUGUGUUUAAAGUUAAAGUGUCAGGUUAAGUUAAUAUAAUUUAAUUUUUGAUGUUAUUUAAUUUAUGACUGCAUU